rnacentral:rRNA from 1 species
GAUGAACGCUGGCGGCGUGCCUAAUACAUGCAAGUCGAGCGAACAGACGAGAAGCUUGCUCCUCUGACGUUAGCGGCGGACGGGUGAGUAACACGUGGAUAACCUACCUAUAAGACUGGGAUAACUUCGGGAAACCGGAGCUAAUACCGGAUAAUAUAUUGAACCGCAUGGUUCAAUAGUGAAAGACGGUUUUGCUGUCACUUAUAGAUGGAUCCGCGCCGCAUUAGCUAGUUGGUAAGGUAACGGCUUACCAAGGCAACGAUGCAUAGCCGACCUGAGAGGGUGAUCGGCCACACUGGAACUGAGACACGGUCCAGACUCCUACGGGAGGCAGCAGUAGGGAAUCUUCCGCAAUGGGCGAAAGCUUGACGGAGCAACGCCGCGUGAGUGAUGAAGGUCUUCGGAUCGUAAAACUCUGUUAUUAGGGAAGAACAAAUGUGUAAGUAACUAUGCACAUCUUGACGGUACCUAAUCAGAAAGCCACGGCUAACUACGUG